CUAAGAAACUCACUUGAUUUAUAUUUAUUGGCUUUGUGGUAAAUGAAUUAGUACAUGUGUCUUUAUAGAUACAUAAGAAACCUCUUGGUACAAUUAAUGGACAUACUAUGAAACAAUACAACUAUUGGAGAAUUCAAGGUAGUGAAUAUAAGACACAUGUACAGGUUAAAUCCUAUGACUCUCAAAACACAUGAACCAGAUGAUGAAUCAAAUUUCAUUAAAUGCUNNNNN
rnacentral:lncRNA from 1 species